AGUUUGAGCUGGACAUCGAGCCCAAGGUGUUCAAGCCGCCGAGUAGCACAGAGGCCCUGAAUGACAGCCAGGAGUUCCCCUUCCCUGAGACGCCCACCAAAGUGUGGCCGCAGGACGAGUACAUCGUGGAGUACUCACUAGAGUAUGGCUUCCUGCGCCUGUCGCAGGCCACCCGCCAGCGCCUGAGCAUCCCCGUCAUGGUGGUCACCCUGGACCCCACGCGGGACCAGUGCUUCGGGGACCGCUUCAGCCGCCUGCUGCUGGAUGAGUUCCUGGGCUACGAUGACAUCCUCAUGUCCAGCGUGAAGGGCCUGGCGGAGAACGAGGAGAACAAGGGCUUCCUGCGGAAUGUGGUGUCGGGCGAGCACUACCGCUUUGUGAGCAUGUGGAUGGCGCGGACGUCCUACCUGGCCGCCUUCGCCAUCAUGGUCAUCUUCGUGAGUGCCUCUGGGCGGGUGCGGGGGCUGGCCGGGUGGG
rnacentral:sRNA from 1 species